AGGUUAUCCCAACGGGCAAGCUGCAGAAACCGUCUUAAAGACUGUCAGACAUUAUCUGGAAGAACACAGGAACUCGUUUGACCGCAUCAUCUUCUGUGUCUUCUUGAAGAUCGACUACAUUCUGUACAAAGAGAAGCUGCCGUUUUACUUCCCAUUUGAGGACAUUUCUCCCGCGUCUUCAAAGGAAAAGCCCAAGGCUGCUGAGGAAGACGAGAAGCAAACCAAGGAUGCGUUAAAUCUUGAGGACAACCAAGGUGCCAAGACUACCCGCCAGCUUUCAGAAUAGCGUCACUGAAGGAUGAAGCUGGGACUGAGGACGCAGCACGAGAUAGAUUCCUCUUGGCCUCCAUUUUAAUUCCUCUCUACCGAUUUCUGAUUUACAAGCGGAAGAUUUACGCAGCAUGAAAAUUAUAUCAGCGGUAAAUUCUGCAUUAUGAAGCACGCUCACUGUUGAAAUCAAUACACUGAUAGCAGGAACUGUCUAAAAGGGUGAUUACAAUGAUUUUUUAAAUUCUCGCUGUUAUCCCCUGGUGUCUUUCCAGGGUGUGCAUUUUUGUCCAUUUAUAUUUCUUCAGCUCCAAAGAUUCAAAAAGUACCUUUAUUAUCAAUGUAGGCAGUGUACAACUCUGCGAUUCGCCUUCCCCACAGACAGCCACAAAGCCAAGGACCGCCACAGGACUCGUUCAAAAAAAAAUCAAACACCCAACCGGUUAAAAAGAAAAGAACAAAUUAGCAUGUGGCAAAAACAUUCAAAAAGUUUAUUUGACCGGUCAGGAUUGUCAGCUCUGAGCUGAACCCCUGAACCUGGAGGACCGGUGGACCACUCUUAGCCUAACCCCUACCCUUUGACCCUGUUUGGGUGACCCUACCAAGAGCCAGAGCAUAAGGCCCUGACUCCAGCCAACCUAGCUCUGUGCGUCAUUCAGGCAAGCAGGCCUCCAAACCCUACGACAAGGUUGUGGUCCUCUUGGAUGCUGAGGUUCGAAGUUCAAAGGUAAACUUAUUAACGCAGGACGUAUAUGUCACCAUACAUUGCCUUGAGAUGCCUUCUCUUGGACGUCUUUGGAAGUAGGCUGCCCUCCCAUGUCCGAUGGCAAUGCAGUCGGUUAAUUGCCCCCCUGUAAAUUACCCCCCAGAUCACAUGGGAAGGAGAGGGGGAGAGUCAGGGUGGAGUUGAAGAGGUGUGACUGGACGUCUCCAGGGAGUAACGCUCGCAAAAUGUUGGAGGAACUCAGCAGGCCGGGCAGCAUCUGUGGAAAAGAGUGAACAGUCGAAGUUUUGGGCCGAGGCCCUUCGUCGGGACUGGAAAGGACGAAGAGAACUCAAGAGUAAGCUGCUGGGGGAGGAGAGGAAGAUGUACAAGGUGGCAUGUGAUAGGUGGAACUUGAAGAGAGGAGGGGCUGGGAAGUUGAUUGGCGGAAGGGAUAAAGGAAUGGAGAAGGGGGAAUCUGAUGGGAGAGGAGAGAAGUACAUGGAAGAAGGAGAAGGGGGAGGAGGUAACGGCUAUCACCUGCCACCUUGUACUUCUUCCUCCCCUCCCCACACCUUCUCACUCCGAUUCUCCUCUUCCAUUCCAGUCCUGAAGAAGGGUCUCGGCCCGAAACAUUGACUAUGUACUCUUUUCCACAGACGCUGCCCGGCCGGCUGAGAUCCCCCAGCAUUUUCUGUCAGUCGCUCUGGAUUUCCGGCACCGGCAGAAUUUCUCCCGUCUGCGAUACCGGGGAGUAAGCUGGGGGCUGGUGGGAGGGCGGGGGGAAAUGGGAAAGGUGAGAUUGAUCUCAGAGCCGGCGGAAACAAUGGCCUCCCCCCGUGCGCGAACAAGAACAUUUCGGUGUCCACUGUUCUCUGAGCAACGGCCCCCCUCCGUCACGUCAUCCAUGCAAGGUCGGUCACCGUCAAUGCUGAAUGGCGUAGAUCGCCAUUACAACGGUCACAAGAUGGAGGCUGGCUACUGUUUGAGAUCUCAUCUCAGUCGUGGAUAAAUUGAGAGAAUCCCCAAACCCCAUUUCAUGGCCCAUCUCCCUUGAUAAACAAAGAAUGCUGGAAAUACCCAGCAGGCCAAGGCAGCGUCUGUGGAGAGAGAAACAAAAUUAACAUUCUCCAGAUACUACUGAAAGUUUAAUAGUUAACUACUCCCUGUUACGCCACUUAGGGCAGCAAUGAAGGACCUCCAUUUUUUUUAAACCAAGUCAGGGUUGUUAACCCUGACUUGAACCCCUCGAACGUGGAGGACUGGUUUGUCCCUCUUAGUCUGGUGCCUACCGAGAACCCAAGUCCCUGACUCCAGCCAACGUCCCUCUCCAGGUCAUUGAGGCACGCAAGCCUCGAAACCCUACGGCAAGGUUAUGGUCCUCUUGGGGGUGAAAGGUCACUAGAAAUCUUUUUUCCCCUUCUUUCUCAUUGGAUAUCUCCAGCAUUCUGUUUUUAUUUCAGACUUCCAUGCAGUAUUCUGUCUGAUUUUCAUUGAAUGCUUCUUCAUUAAAAACAAAUCGGUGAGAUAUUGUACUCCUUGGCUAAAAUGUAGUUCUUGCUUGGAUUGUUAUUGGAUUUUGAUCUUAUUGUAGUUAACGGUUUGAUUCCACGUUGAUAAAGUGAUUCUUGUGAACCUCGUU